ACUUUUAUUAGCUGUGGGAUCAUAGUUAAACCUCAAUUUCCUUAUCUGUAAAAUGGAGAAAAUAAUAGUACCUAUCUCAGAAGGUCUUUGGGAGGAUUAAAUUAAGAUAAUAAAGGUCAACUCUUGCUCAACACUGUCCUGUCCAUAAACGUAUGCAAUAGUGUUGCUGAAUAGGAAAUAAAAGCUGGUGGGACCCAAGGUCCCCUAGGGAGACAGUAGGAGCUGGGCGCUGCUCCAAAGUCUGGAGGCCCAUUCUAUGCUCUGUUGGUCUCCUGAAGGGACUCAGUGAAUUCUUGGAGGAGACACCUUGCAACACGUUCCUGUGCAAAUCCUGCAGGAAAUCUAGGGGUUCUCCCUGGACUUGGUUGGCUUUAACCCCUUCUCCUGGCCUCGUGUAUGCCCCAUAUCAGGAGAGAGGACAGCUUCAGUAAAUGUACUAGGAUCCAGAGAGGGUCAGAGAGGAGGGAGAAGGCUGUGCUAAACAAGGUGCUGGCAGUGUCAGGAGUUGGCCUCCUGCCCUCUGGGUUGAGAGAUAUCGAAUGCUGCUUUGCCAAGAGCUGCUUUCUUGGGC
rnacentral:sRNA from 1 species